AGCUCGAGUUUCUCUUCAUUAUCGCAUAAAUCUUUCGCCUUUUACUAAAGAUUUCCGUAGAGGGGAACUUUUUGCGAGUGACUUGUAUUUUUAGAGGCUCUGAUCACAGCAGAGCU
ensembl:snRNA U5 U5 spliceosomal RNA